rnacentral:rRNA from 1 species
CCUACGGGAGGCAGCAGUGGGGAAUCUUAGACAAUGGGGGAAACCCUGAUCUAGCCAUGCCGCGUGAGUGAUGAAGGCCCUAGGGUCGUAAAGCUCUUUCGCCAGGGAUGAUAAUGACAGUACCUGGUAAAGAAACCCCGGCUAACUCCGUGCCAGCAGCCGCGGUAAUACGGAGGGGGUUAGCGUUGUUCGGAAUUACUGGGCGUAAAGCGCGCGUAGGCGGAUUAGCAAGUUAGAGGUGAAAUCCCGGGGCUCAACCCCGGAACUGCCUUUAAAACUGUUAGUCUUGAGUUCGAGAGAGGUGAGUGGAAUUCCGAGUGUAGAGGUGAAAUUCGUAGAUAUUCGGAGGAACACCAGUGGCGAAGGCGGCUCACUGGCUCGAUACUGACGCUGAGGUGCGAAAGUGUGGGGAGCAAACAGGAUUAGAUACCCUGGUAGUCCACACCGUAAACGAUGAAUGCCAGACGUCGGGCAGUAUACUGUUCGGUGUCACACUUAACGGAUUAAGCAUUCCGCCUGGGGAGUACGGUCGCAAGAUUAAAACUCAAAGGAAUUGACGGGG